CCUGUCCCAGAGGCAUUGCAGGUAUAACUACUGGGUCACAUGUGUGUCAAUAGGUGGCAGAGAGGAGAGAAACUCAGUGCUCUGACCUAUGAACAUCUAAAUGAUUAUUAAUCUAAUAUU
ensembl:snoRNA LOC120102694 small nucleolar RNA SNORA17